rnacentral:tRNA from 1 species
GACCCUGUAGCUCAGUUGGUAGAGCAGCAGCCUUUUAAGCUGAUGGUCGUGGGUUCGAGCCCCACCGGGGUCACAA